rnacentral:tRNA from 1 species
ACUUGGCAGGCUCAUUGGGUAGAGCACGGGACUCUUGAUCCUGGAGUAUGAGUUUGAGCCCCAUGUUGUGCU